UACGGAGGGUGCAAGCGUUGUCCGGAUUUAUUGGGUUUAAAGGGUGCGUAGGCGGUUCGUUAAGUCAGUGGUGAAAGCCUCCAGCUCAACUGGAGAACUGCCAUUGAUACUGGCGGGCUUGAGUACAGACGAGGUUGGCGGAAUUGAUAGUGUAGCGGUGAAAUGCAUAGAUACUAUCAAGAACUCCGAUUGCGUAGGCAGCUAACUAGGCUGUAACUGACGCUGAGGCACGAAAGCGUGGGGAGCGAACAGG
rnacentral:rRNA from 1 species